rnacentral:tRNA from 1 species
GAUAGGGUCAGCUAAACAAGCUUUCGGGCCCAUACCCCGAAAAUGAUGGUUAAACCCCACCCCCUAUCA